AUGAACCAUAUGGUGCUAAUGUUUGUGCUAUGUGUGCUGUUUUUCAGAAAACAGGAUGAGGGGAACUCGUCGAUCAGCGAGAUUGACUGGAGUACCACCUGAGGAUGAGGGCAUGAGCGCCCGUCCUCCAGCAUUGCCUAGGGCAAUGUCUAGUAGGUCUAGCAGAGAAAGGGCAGCAAGAGACCCUAGGAGGUCUUUGGAUCUGGGUAGGAGCAGAUCAGUUAGAGGAACAGUUCAGGGCGGAAUAUCAGAG
rnacentral:lncRNA from 1 species